CAUAUGAAUGAUGUUACGUCCCGGAUUACACGUUUCUCCGGGAACGCCAACAGACCUGCCGUAUACAUAGAAAUUUUUCCUGUAUACGAAGCAAUAGUUAUACCUGUAAACAAAACCAAGCUACAACCACAAGAUAGAGAGCUGCUAAACUGAACUGAAAAAUAUAAAUAAACAUCAAGUUCACUCGACAUACAAAGUCCAAGAUAAAAACAUCUCUCGCUCCAACAAGUAAACCAACGUUAGUAUGUACAUGAACCAAAAUACUCCAAAACUACCUGUAUAUGGUACUCCUCUAGUACGGCAACUAGGGAAGGGAUCUAGCUCGUGACUCUAUUACCACGAUCAGAAUCAGCAACAACAGUAGUCGCAGAAGAAGGCUCUGCAAAAAGGGAUCAACAACUCGGUGUGAGAACUACUGCAAAAAGGAGUAGUCCUCAGUGGGCAACGCUACCGACCUCAACGGCUCACCCACUAAGUCUACAUAAAGUAUGCUCAAGGAUAGUAAAGGAAGCUGGUAAAACUCUACAGCUAUAUGCCACUAUACUAUCGCUAACCAACACUAACUAUUUGGAGAUAUAAGCAAGAUG
rnacentral:lncRNA from 1 species